GUUGACCUCGGAUCAGGUAGGGAUACCCGCUGAACUUAAGCAUAUCAAA
rnacentral:rRNA from 6 species